AAUCAACGCUGGCGGCGUGCCUCAGACAUGCAAGUCGAACGAUUAAGACUUCCUUCGGGAAGUGUAUAAAGUGGCGCACGGGUGAGUAACACGUAAGUAAUCUACCUUCGAGUGGGGAAUAACAUCGGGAAACCGAUGCUAAUACCGCAUAAUGCAGCGGCAUCGCAAGAUGACAGUUGUUAAAGGAGCAAUUCGCUUGAAGAGGAGCUUGCGGCAGAUUAGCUAGUUGGUAAGAUAAUGGCUUACCAAGGCUACGAUCUGUAUCCGGUCUAAGAGGACGGUCGGACACACUGACACUGAAUAACGGGUCAGACUCCUACGGGAGGCAGCAGUCGGGAAUUUUGGGCAAUGGGCGAAAGCCUGACCCAGCAACGCCGCGUGAGGGAUGAAGUAUUUCGGUAUGUAAACCUCGAAAGAAUGGGAAGAAUAAAUGACGGUACCAUUUAUAAGCUCCGGCUAACUACGUGCCAGCAGCCGCAGUAAGAC
rnacentral:rRNA from 1 species